rnacentral:lncRNA from 1 species
CACCUGAGCUCCCACCUGCCCCGUGAUGGCCCCUCCUCGGUGUGGGGUGCCUCAUCCAUCAGCCUAUGGGCCAUGGCAUCUUGACCUCACCUUUUCCAACAGAGACAUGCACCCACUGUGGGCACCAAGCUAGGACCUAUGCCCCACACUCGAGGCCACCCCAGCUCCAGGGCCUUGGAACUCGAAUCUGGAGCUCAGCGGGUCCCUCUGCCCCUGCACACUGACCUGAGGUCCCCAGGCUGAGUGAGCAGGAUGCUCAGUCACCAGUGUACCUCUUCCUGGGCUUACAGGCAACAUGUUACUGUGGUUGAGUCCUGAGUGUCCCCAGUCCUGUAGUCCCCAGGGUGGCACUGUGGGGAGAAGAGGAUUCCUUGGGCCCUUGGGGCCCUGGGAAGGGACAGUGGGGUGAGCCCACCUCUUCUUUGCCUUUGCUCUCAGGGCCCGUGGUGAGCAGUUUGGUCCAUGCCUGUCCCUACCCCAGGCCUGAUGACUUCUGACCAGUCUGCGGCCAAACAACCCUCUCCUGCAGUGAGCCCUUACAGUGAGCAGCUGGGCACUGUGCGAAGGCAGCCAUGGUACCUGCAUCUGGGCAGGUACCAUGCCGUGUCGACAGCGGAUGGAUCCCAGUGCAGUUCUAUUACACCUACCGGCUCACUUUCUCCUUCCUCCUGGGGAAGGAGCUACAGUCCACGGUCUUCAAGAGGUGUCCUUCCAGGCCAAGAAAGGAAGCCUUUCUGGUGGGUGUUUCA